CUUGAAUAAACUAAUUUUGACGAUUUCUUUUAUAAAUAUUUUCUUUGUAGUUUUUUCUGAAGUAUCAUUUUCGGAUUUUUAACUUUCACCAAAUUUAUUUUCUUCUAAUUUUGAACUUUCGAUAAGUUAUUUUGAUAGUGUCCCAAAUUUUAAUUAGUUGACGACCACACAUUAACUUGAUCGGUCACUUUUUUACCAAAACUUUUCAACUAUAUUUUCGGCCAAACUCAGCUAAGCUCCAACUUUUACUAUUACUUAGUACAAAUGUCUUUCGUGAGGCCUUCACAACAAUACGAAGAGAACUGCAGCAAAAACUAACGUACGUCCUACUAUCCAAUUUGAAAAAUGCAAACAAAACACAUAAACUAAGUACAGGCGUUUCCAUAACUUUUAAAAAAAUUGGAACCAAAACUUCUGUUAUUCGUCAAGAACUAAUAUUGGAACGAUGUUUUGAAAAAUACUUCCGGUUCAAAACUAGACUUUUCCUGCCUGCCAAAAAAACGAAUUUAAAAACAGCAACUGGUGUUGUAAUUUCGUAUCACCACAAAAUAUAUCUUAGGCCGAAUCAGGUUGCUAACCUCAAAUUUUGACAAAUGGGUUUAAUACCGCUAACCGACCUCAGGACAAUAUCAACAGAAAUGCGUUUUACAGUUUUAUUAUUAUUAUUAUUAAUAUCUUUCCCAACAGUAAAAAAACAAUGAACAGGGAAAGAUUCAACAAUGUUUGAAAAUUUGUCUGUCACAUCACAACUCAUCGAUAUAUUAUUGAAGAAACGACAUAUACCAACUAUAGGCGACAUCAUGAGUAAAUUACUUCUGCAAGUGGAACAGUAAAACAUAUUUUGCCGUCGAGUGUUAUGCCUGGGAAAUUUUAUAAUUUUAAAAUUUCACAAUAUCACAAAAUAUUUAAAAUUGCAUUAAAGCAUACGCUAAAUGAAUUCUAAACCAGAGAAUUUAGGCGAAAUUCCUGCACUAUCAGCAGGAACUUCAUCUUGUCAUCGUAGUGGCUACAAAUUGUCCAUACAUUCCAAAAUCACUGCAUAGAAAACAGUAUGGUGCUAUAGAAAAUCAUCUUAAUCAGAUUAAUAUUAUUUACAUGACCAAACCGUUCACAGGUAACAUCAUUUAACAUAUUCUUAACACAUUCUCUUUGAUUGAGAUAGUUUUCCAUCGCACAAUUAAUUCUAUUUCUAAUAUGAGUUUGAUAAUAACUUUAUUAUUUGUAAGUAGUGUCGUAAAUAUUUGCUCUAAUGUGUAAUUUAUUUCGUCUGUGUGUCUUUUUUGUCAGGAUCGCCCAACGGAUGCAGCAUUCAUGUCUAACAAAUGUCAGCGCUAGAUUCGUUGUUCACGCAUUCAAGACGCGUUUUUGUAUUUGCAUCUGUUCGGCGCUUCGAGCACAAAAUAUUUAAAAAUUUUGAAAUGUAAAGUGCCAUGAUACCUUUUAACUAAGUACUUGUACUCAGAAUUAGCAAAAAACGACGUCAAGGCUGUUUUCCAUUGUCGAAUAUUUUUAUCACUAUAUAGAUCCAAUGGGUUUGCAUUACAAAAAUGAACAUUUUGUACCAAGUCGUGGUUGUGGUUUAAAUUUGUUCAUAGUGUUUUAAGCAUUUCACAACGAUUUCCCAAAAACAUACUCUUUUGACAAACUGACAAAGUUUGAUUCAGAGAGGAAGCGGGAAAUUUACUGCGACCAAAUACUGAAGAUGCUCAAGCAUGGCAACUACGAAACUAUCUUUCUUCUUGACAGUUGGUACACAGAUGAAAAAACACUUAACAAAACCAAAGCACGUAUUUGAAGCAGGUUUUCUUUUGGGAAUAGUGUUGUUGAUAGAAACUGUAAAAAUCUGAAUUGGAACAAAAAUACCGAAGAGGGACUGCAACCUUGUCGUAUUUUCUUACUUAAUCAUAGUUUUGUCGGUUUAUUAAAAAAAGUAUCAUGACAUGUGAGGGAUAUUUUUACUUUGUAGUUGAGAUAUGUGCAUAUAUUGUAGUUUAUAAGUUCCUAUGUUGUAAAUAAGUAUGUAAAUAAUGAAUUAAUGUGUACAUAAGUUGAAAUAGAUUGCUGUUUGUUAUCAAACAUUAGAAUAAAAUACAUUUUUUGGAA